rnacentral:rRNA from 1 species
UCGAGAAUCUUUCGCAAUGGGGGAAACCCUGACGACGCGACGCCGCGUGGAGGAUGAAGGCCUUCGGGUUGUAAACUCCUGUCAGCUGGGGAGAACAAGCUUUUGGUGAAUAAUCAAGAGCCUUGACGGUACCAGCAGAGGAAGCCACGGCUAACUCUGUGCCAGCAGCCGCGGUAAUACAGAGGUGGCAAGCGUUGUUCGGAUUUAUUGGGCGUAAAGGGUCCGUAGGCGGCCUAGAAAGUCGGAUGUGAAAUCCCACAGCUCAACUGUGGAACUGCAUUCGAAACUUCUAGGCUCGAGUGUGAUAGGGGUAAAGGGAAUUCCCGGUGUAAGGGUGAAAUCUGCAGAGAUCGGGAGGAACACCAGUGGCGAAAGCGGCCUCCUGGACCAUUCCUGACACUCAGACGCGAAAGCUAGGGUAGCAAACG